CCUACGGGAGGCAGCAGUGGGGAAUAUUGGGCAAUGGGCGCAAGCCUGACCCAGCAACGCCGCGUGAAGGAAGAAGGCUUUCGGGUUGUAAACUUCUUUUAAGAGGGAAGAGCAGAAGACGGUACCUCUUGAAUAAGCCACGGCUAACUACGUGCCAGCAGCCGCGGUAAUACGUAGGUGGCAAGCGUUGUCCGGAUUUACUGGGUGUAAAGGGCGUGCAGCCGGGAAGACAAGUCAGAUGUGAAAUCCCGCGGCUCAACCGCGGAACUGCAUUUGAAACUGUUUUUCUUGAGUACCGGAGAGGUCAUCGGAAUUCCUUGUGUAGCGGUGAAAUGCAUAGAUAUUACACAGAACACCGAUUGCGAAGGCAGCUUGCUAGGCCGGAUCUGACACUGAUGCACGAAAGCGUGGGGAUCGAACAGGAUUAGAUACCCCUGUAGUC
rnacentral:rRNA from 1 species